ensembl:lncRNA
AAAAUUAAUUUGCUUUGUGUGCAGGGACAUUUAUUGUAUCCUGCAUACCCGUGUGCGUUUUGGCUGUCUGCAAGUAGUUUAUAUAUUCUUUCUUCCUGGGCUGCAGAGACUGAGGUAACUCCAGGGACAGGAGCACCUCAAUAUAAUGAGAAGAUUUGCAGAGGCUUAUUCAGAAAACCAUAAAUGAAUGAUGAUGUGAAGAGACAAUCUAGGAAAGCAAAAUCCUACUAUGCCAGGUCUCAGGAAUGAGACACCCUGACCAUGCUCUGGGAGCUACAUCAAGUUCAUCAGACGACUUCGGCAUCAUAACGAAUAAUGGCCACGAUCAAGUCAUAGAAGAGCAGGUGGUCACUGAAGGCAAAGUAAUUGAAUCUGGUUUUGGCCAUGGGCAUAAUAUACAAGUGGAGAAUGAGGGUGAGGGGGAAGGGAGCUGCUGCAGGGCUGCAUACCAGCACAUGAUGGAAAAUAGCAAGGAAGCAGAGAAGAUGCAACUGUCCCUCUCACAAUCUUUAGAGACCUUGGGCAGCUUAACAGCACAUGGAGAUAAUGGAGGGAGCUUCUGGACAUGUUUUUGCAUCUAACAGGCCUCACACCAGGAGAUCUCACCCUGCCGUACUGACUAGAAGCCUGCCUGGGAUCGUGUUAUGUCAAGGAACAAUGUUUUUAACUCUUUCCUCCAAUAUACUAGGCAGACAGGAAUGGGCUUCCCUUUAACUCCUGGCAUUCAAAGCUGCUUUUAUUUGCUGAACAAAUACUGAAGCUGAGACAAGGAAGCUCUGGGGAACACAGUGAAGAAAACAUAGCCUGCUUUUUUAUAUACCCUUGAUCGCUUUUAUAGCCAUUUCUGUCAAGAACAGAGCAUGACUCCAUUCUACUAGCUGUUAGGAUUCCACGACCAAAAAUUCAUUCUUGACUUUCCUAGGAGUGGCAAUUGGUGCCUUCUUGUGCAUUUGAACUGACAUUUUCAUUCUUAAUCCACACCCUGACACCCUUUCCCCAUGUCUUCAUUCUGUUGACUCACAAAAAUCCAGAUUUUUUUUUAAUAAGUCACAACAAGAAAUAGUUGAGCAAAAGGAGAAAAGAUUAGAGCAGGAAACAAACCAAACCAAACCAAAGCCUAGGAUUGCAAGCCACUGCUUUCACAUCAGAUGAACGAUCCAUUUUGUAGGCAAAACAAACUGUACAUGACAUUCCAAUGUGCACUGACUGUCCCUACAUAGUCACUCAUCUAGGCCAGAGGAGGCUCCCUGCUUGUUUUGGGUUGUUCAGCUGAAAGAAAGCAAAGCAGGUGACCCUCUGCCCAAAGGCUUCUCCAAGGAUCAAACUGUGUACACGACUUCUUGAUUCCUCUCCAGCCUGGCAGAGAGCUACUUGCUGGCAUUGUGAGGAACUAAAGACUCUUGAGGAAACAGGUGCUUGGCAGCCUUUGCAGAUCCCCCUAGUAUCCACUGCACUGUUUCAAAAGAGGUGGCUGAGGUACUUCUGAAACUUUUGGGGGGGCCAGUGAUUGUCACAGCCUAUAGAGCACAGCCACAAGACUCUCUGUUGGGAUGGCUAUCUGAGACAAAGGCAGCAGAACCAUUCUUUAUUGUGGUGGUGAAGUCCAUUAUAUACCUACCACAGGAAAAUAAAGCCCAUGUUCAAACAAAUAAUCUAAAAGAA